CGCUUUCUUUUCUUGUCCCUGAAGAGUGAGGACUUGCCUUCACUCAUUAACCCACUCCAUACGGUUUAGUAUUGCACUGGGCGUUUGAUAGAAGUCCGGUCAAUGCCUUUAUAUACCUUAGUUAUGAACGCGAUCACCUCAAGAGACCUCAGCUUCCCAGUGGCAGGAAACCAUAGCAUCUAUGUGUUUGUGAAUAGAAAGGCACUCUGCUGACAUUGAUGAAAUGAACCUCAUGUUCAGGUCCUCUCCCACCCCAGUUCU
rnacentral:lncRNA from 1 species